UACGUAGGGGGCUAGCGUUGUCCGGAAUCAUUGGGCGUAAAGCGCGUGUAGGCGGUUCGGUAAGUCCGCUGUGAAAGUCGGGGGCUCAACCCUCGAAAGCCGGUGGAUACCGUCGAACUAGAGUGCGGAAGAGGCGAGUGGAAUUCCUGGUGUAGCGGUGAAAUGCGCAGAUAUCGGAAGGAACACCAGUGGCGAAAGCGGCUUCCUGGUCCAGCACCGACGUUCAGGCACGAAAGCGUGGGGAGCAAACAGG
rnacentral:rRNA from 1 species